rnacentral:rRNA from 1 species
AGUGAAUAGAUACCCCGGUAGUCCACGCUGUAAACGAUGGGUACUAGGUCAGGUGGGUAUUGACCCCUGCCGGACCGGAGCUAAACGCAAAUAAGUACCCCGCCUGGGAAGUACGGUCGCAAGACUAAAACUCAAAGGAAUUGACGGGGGCCCGCACAAGCGGUGGAUCAUGUGGUUUAAUUCGAAGCAACGCGAAGAACCUUACCUGGGUUUGACAUCCCUCGACAGUCGUAGAAAUACGAUCUUGUAGCAAUACAACGGGGAGACAGGUGCUGCAUGGCUGUCGUCAGCUCGUGUGGUGACAUGUUGGGUUAAGUCCCGCAACGAGCGCAACCCUUGUCCUUAGUUGCCAUCAUUAAGUUGGGCUCUCUAAGGAGACUGCCGUGGUUAACACGGAGGAAGGUGGGGAUGACGUCAAGUCCUCAUGGCCUUAUAUCCAGGGCGACACACGUGAUACAAUGGAUGGUACAGAGAGACGCGAAAGGGC